rnacentral:tRNA from 1 species
UCCCAGGUGACUCAGUGGCAAAGAAUCUGCCUUCCAAGCAGGAGACAGGGGUUCAAUCCCUGUCCUGGGAA